rnacentral:tRNA from 3 species
GAGCCGUUAGCUCAGUAGGUAGAGCACCUGACUUUUAAUCAGGGGGUCCAGGGUUCGAAUCCCUGACGGCUCACCA